rnacentral:misc_RNA from 1 species
CCACUAUGAAUCGACGGGUUUCGGGAAGGAGUCCGACUCAUGAAGCGAAUCUGGCUAAGCAUGGUGGCGAUGGUCGUUUUGACACUUCCCAAUACAGGCUGUUUGAUCAAUCAAUACUCCAGCGAUCCCAUGGUCCGCAUGGAGCAACUGAUGAUCGACUCGGAAAACCUGCGCCAAAUUCACGACGAAUGGCGUCGUUUCUGGAUGAACGAUCAACCGUCCCACUUGACGCCUUACCGCAUCCACGGCGGAGUCGGCCCAGCCUCCUCAAGCAUCUAGUAGAUGAGCGGAGCGAAUCUGCGGGGUUCGGUGAAAUCGGCAAUCGUCGCAAAACCAAGCCGACGGACCCCGCGCAUACGCGCAUUCAAGCGAAGUUCCAUCGAGUCGAAGGCGAACCACGUCGAUGAAUGGUGCAUACGCACCACACAUCGACCCCUUCGAACUUGGUGAACUUCAUGCGCGUUGCCACCUAUUGCAUACUCACUGCUUGCUCGUUCGGUGUAUUCGCCCACCCAAGCGCGCGCCGAUACCUUACCAACUACGAUCGAUCAACUCAGGAAUCUUAGCGAAUGCGAAUUGACGCGCCUGUUCGAGCAGGCGCCGGCGCCGACCGCGGUUCCGACCGGCAACGCGAAAGGUCGUGUUUUGCUGAUGACCAAUG